rnacentral:rRNA from 1 species
GAUGAACGCUAGCUACAGGCUUAACACAUGCAGGUCGCGGGGCAGCAUGGGGGUUGCUUGCACUCCCCGAUGGCGACCGGCGCACGGGUGAGUAACGCGUAUCCAACCUGCCCUUCACCACGGGAUAACCCGGCGAAAGUCGGACUAAUACCGUAUGUUGUCCAUUGACGGCAUCCGAUUUGGACGAAAGGUUUGGCGGUGAAGGAUGGGGAUGCGUCCGAUUAGCUGGACGGCGGGGUGACGGCCCACCGUGGCGACGAUCGGUAGGGGUUCUGAGAGGAAGGUCCCCCACACUGGAACUGAGACACGGUCCAGACUCCUACGGGAGGCAGCAGUGAGGAAUAUUGGUCAAUGGGCGUAAGCCUGAACCAGCCAAGUAGCGUGCAGGAUGACGGCCCUAUGGGUUGUAAACUGCUUUUAUGCGGGGAUAAAGUGGCCCACGUGUGGGUUUUUGCAGGUACCGCAUGAAUAAGGACCGGCUAAUUCCGUG